UUCUUUAGUUUUGAUGAUUCUUUUACAAAUAGUGUAAGUGUUUUCACUUGUGCGUGGGCCACCUAUCUUCACGUAUAGGAGAUUGUUCCUAAAUUCGAAAUGAGGGCUCCGUUCUUGUUUCUGUUAGUUCUGGUUCUCAUGUGUCUCAUCGGCACUGCUACGGCAUGCAUCCAAAAAUAUGGACCGUGUAUUCAAUAUCCCUGCUGCAGAGGGCUAACCUGCUUUACGAUAUGCAUAUAGCAUUGAAGAACUGCUGAAAAAGGACUUUUUCACAAUCAACAUGAUUAAGUGAACUGUGGUUUUACGAGAAAUAGCAAAUGCUGCGUGUUUGUCUAUAUUUCAGGCUUUUGAGCUUCUGUUCUUAAAGUACAUUAUGAUUAAUAAAAAAAAUUCUUCAGAGUA